rnacentral:rRNA from 1 species
UACGUAGGGUGCGAGCGUUAAUCGGAAUUACUGGGCGUAAAGCGUGCGCAGGCGGUUCUCCAAGUCCGUUGUGAAAGCCCCGGGCUCAACCUGGGAAUGGCAGUGGAAAACUAGGGGGACUUGAAUCUGGCAGAGGGGGGGUGGAAUUCCACGUGUAGCAGUGAAAUGCGUAGAGAUGUGGAGGAACACCGAUGGCGAAGGGCAGCCCCCUGGGCUGAGAUUGACGCUCAGGCACGAAAGCGUGGGGAGCAAACAGGGA